rnacentral:rRNA from 1 species
UACAGAGGUCUCAAGCGUUGUUCGGAUUCAUUGGGCGUAAAGGGUGUGUAGGUGGCGCCGUAAGUCGGGUGUGAAAUUUCGAGGCUUAACCUCGAAACUGCAUUCGAUACUGCGGUGCUUGAGGACUGGAGAGGAGACUGGAAUUUACGGUGUAGCAGUGAAAUGCGUAGAGAUCGUAAGGAAGACCAGUGGCGAAGGCGGGUCUCUGGACAGUUCCUGACACUGAGGCACGAAGGCCAGGGGAGCAAACGGG